rnacentral:rRNA from 1 species
UACAGAGGUCCCGAGCGUUGUUCGGAUUCACUGGGCGUAAAGGGUGCGUAGGUGGUUGUGCAAGUCUGAUGUGAAAUCUCCGGGCUUAAACCCCGGAAAAUGGCAUUGGAAACUGCAUGGCUAGAGGGUUGGAGGGGGGGACUGGAAUACUUGGUGUAGCAGUGAAAUGCGUAGAUAUCAAGUGGAACACCAGUGGCGAAGGCGAGUCCCUGGACAACACCUGACACUGAGGCACGAAAGCUAGGGGAGCAAACAGG